GUAAAUUCCACAAGACUCUUUUGUACCUAGUGGGGAUCUGCAUGGCAGUCCCACACAGACAGCAGCACAGACCCCACUGGCUAGAGGACACUGUCCCCAACAAGCCUACCGCUACUCCAAGUGGCAGCUAUAAGUGAAGGACUCACUGUCUAUCAUCACACUUCUGACCAACUGGUUGGCAAUUUGGGGCUCCCAGAUGUCCUGCAAGGGAAAGUCCUCACGCCCUCCCUUGAGACCCUGUUGACUGACUGAGCUGGCUUGGUCAUAGGACCAAGGACAGGAGUAACUGUGCCUCCACGUGGAAACUGCCAAGCAAGCUCUGAAGGUCUGACUCCGUUCAAAGUCAACUUUGUUCUUGGAUUGUGGAUGACCUUUGCUGGGAAGACCCUGCUAUUUAAGAUCAGCAGCUAUCGUGCUAAGAUAGCUCCUCUGAGCUUGGCACGAACCGGAGGACUUCCCUCUUCUGCCUGAUCUUAUCUGGGGAGCCUGACCCUCACAGCCUCUACCUGAGGAAGGUCACUUAGUCUAUGGCAAACCUACAAGUUCAACUUCCUCUUUCCCAGAGAAGAACCUGCCCAGCGUGUACCUGGGAUUCCUGGAAUGUCUCUCCACGUAAAUGAGACAUUCACAGUCCUUUAAACUCCAGCCACUGACUCAUAUUCACCAUGAAAACUCCUUCCCACCCUCUGAGGUUCAUGUAUAGCCCUUGUUCACCCCAGAUAACAUGGAUUACACAUCUUUUUGUUUGAAGGUCA